ACGCACGCUGGCGGCAUGCCUCACACCUGCAAGUCGAACGAGACCUUCGGGUCUAGUGGCGCACGGGUGCGUCACGCGUGGGAACCUGCCCUUAGGUUCGGAAUAACUCCCCGAAAGGGGUGCUAAUACCGGAUAAUGUCUUCGGACCAAAGAUUUAUCGCCUUUGGAUGGGCCCGCGUUGGAUUAGCUAGUUGGUAGGGUAAAAGCCUGCCAAGGCGACGAUCCAUAGCUGGUCUGAGAGGAUGAUCAGCCACACUGGGACUGAGACACGGCCCAGACUCCUACGGGAGGCAGCAGUGGGGAAUAUUGGACAAUGGGCGAAAGCCUGAUCCAGCAAUGCCGCGUGAGUGAUGAAGGCCUUAGGGUUGUAAAGCUCUUUUACCCGGGAUGAUAAUGACAGUACCGGGAGAAUAAGCUCCGGCUAACUCCGUG
rnacentral:rRNA from 1 species